CAGAUUUUGAAGGACACCAAAGAAAACUUUGGCAAAAACACCAACAAGAAUGGGUGGAAAAGAGUACGGGAGGAAUUGAAGAUUAUCAACGACAACAGGCAGACGUUUGUUUCAUCAACAACAAAGAAUGCAAUCAAAAGAAUUCGUGAAGAACUGCAGAAAGGACCUUCAAAAACAGAAGGAUUUCCUGGAACGUCAGCAUCAAAUGCUUGAUAGAAAGACCUGGAGGAAGGAACAAGGUUUGAAGAAAAGACAGAGAAGUUGCUGAAUGCAAUAAGACAAAAAAAUAAAAAAAGAGUAGAAGAGUUGAGGGUAAUAAACUCUUUGCUGACAUACUGUGAACUCAUUAAAGCGACAGUCCGCAAAUCGGGCA